ACGGAGGAUGCGAGCGUUAUCCGGAUUUAUUGGGUUUAAAGGGUGCGUAGGCGGGAGAUUAAGUCAGUGGUGAAAGUUUGCAGCUUAACUGUAAAAUUGCCGUUGAAACUGAUUUUCUUGAGUGUAAAUGAGGUAGGCGGAAUGUGUUGUGUAGUGGUGAAAUGCUUAGAUAUAACACAGAACUCCGAUUGCGAAGGCAGCUUACUAAUAUACAAAUGACGCUGAGGCACGAAAGCGUGGGUAUCAAACAG
rnacentral:rRNA from 1 species